rnacentral:rRNA from 1 species
AUCAAUGGGCACAAGCUGCCGGAGCAUUCGUCGCGUGAGGGAGAACGAUGUCUCGAUAGAAAACCUCUUUUCUCGGUGAAGAAGUUAAGACGGUAGCAGAGGAAUCAGCAUCGGGUAAUUCCGUCCCAGCAGCCGGGGUAAGAGGGAGGAUGCUAGCGUUAUCUGGAAUUAUUGGGGGUAAAGUGUCUGUAGGCGGUUCAUAAAGUCUGCCGUCAAACCCUUGUAGCCCACUCCUGGGCAGAGAGGUGGAAGCUGAAGAACUGGAGUACGGUAGGGGUAGAGGGAAUUACCAGAUGUAGGAUUGAUAUGCGUCGAUCCUGGGUAGUUCACA